AGUGAACGCUGGCGGUAGGCCUAACACAUGCAAGUCGAACGGCAGCACAGUAAGAGCUUGCUCUUACGGGUGGCGAGUGGCGGACGGGUGAGGAAUACAUCGGAAUCUACUUUUUCGCGGGGGAUAACGUAGGGAAACUUACGCUAAUACCGCAUACGACCUACGGGUGAAAGUAGGGGAUCUUCGGACCUUGCGCGAUUGAAUGAGCCGAUGUCGGAUUAGCUAGUUGGCGGGGUAAAGGCCCACCAAGGCGACGAUCCGUAGCUGGUCUGAGAGGAUGAUCAGCCACACUGGAACUGAGACACGGUCCAGACUCCGACGGGAGGCAGCAGUGGGGAAUAUUGGACAAUGGGCGCAAGCCUGAUCCAGCCAUACCGCGUGGGUGAAGAAGGCCUUCGGGUUGUAAAGCCCUUUUGUUGGGAAAGAAAAGCAGCAGGUUAAUACCCCGCUGUUCUGACGGUACCCAAAGAAUAAGCACCGGCUAACUUCGUG
rnacentral:rRNA from 1 species